rnacentral:lncRNA from 1 species
AGCAGAGCAAGGUCGGCCAGUCUGCUCCUCCGCCUCCACUCACCCCAAAAGGCUUCCACAACCCCACGCAGCACAAGACCCGGGGACACCCCACCCAACGGCACCAGCUCGCACCCCGCACCCCAAUCUCCGCCCGCCUCCACGGGGGCACCAGCUGAGCGGGCCCCGCCCCCCAGCCUGUCCCUCCGGUGUUGGGGGAGCAGGCGGGUUCUCCCCCAAACCACGGAGCGGCUCAGCCCAGGUUGAAACUGAACUCAUGGAGAUCCUCCUGCCUCAGACCCCCAAGCACUGGGAUUACAGGCGUGGCCAGCGAUCGGGACAGGGGCUGUGCCCUCUGCCUACAGGCGCCCCCUGGUGAAGACAGGCGGGCUUUAGCAUCCCCACGGGGCUGGGCCCGCUCCUGCCCCUCUCCACUGCCCACCCCCAUCUCGCCGGACCCUGCUCCCGUGGCAACAAGCUGGUGAGACCCCUGGGCCGCUCUGCCCCCUGCCCACCACUCACCACCCCCUCUCCUACCUGCCCCACCUCCUCCUGCCACCCAGGUUGUACCGGGGCGCGAGUCUCCUUUAACGUGUCCUGGCAGCACCCCUGCCCCGGCCCCACGCCCCACGUACACACACAUGCGCUCACACACGCUUCUGCCAGCCGCACGCUGCCAGCAGCUGCCAGAGCUGUUGAGCAGGAGGGAGCCCGGGAGGGUGGGGUGCAGGGAUUGGGUUUCCAGCUCCGAGGGGGUGGGCCGUCACCCAAUCCCUUCUCCCUCCCGCGGCCUCCCUCCAGCCUCUGGCAGGCAGCCCACUACCCUUGGAGCCCGGCCCCCACCCCCAGUCCACCUAGUGUAGGAAGUAAGCGUUGGAGAGUAUUUGUCAUGCGGAGACCAGCCCAGGAGAGGAGAGAAGCAGCAAGGCGGAGACAGACAGACAGACAGACAAACAGACGGGAUUCCUGUGCUCUGUGCUCCAGCUGCAACCAACCACUAGCACCCACCCCUGCCUCCAGGCCUCAGAGAAGGGAUCCCUUUGGACCAGGAAUCAGAAGCCCAGAGCCUGAGCUGGCCGAGGUAAACCACACCUGUGAUCCCAGCACUGAGGAGGCUGAGGCAAGAGGAUCACCACAAGUUUGAGGCCAGUUUACCCUACAUAGUGAGUUGAAGCCCAGCCUGGCCUACAGAGCGAGACCCAAAACAAACUAACAAAUAAACCUGUCCUGUCUCCCUGCCAAUCAGCCCUGCUUGCUUCCUGAGCUGGGGAAUCCUAGUCGUCCUGUCCUUAACUGGUCCUGUCACUGUGGACACAUCCCUGGCCGGGUCCCUGGCCGGGUCCCUGGUCUAAUAGGAGGCAACUGGGCAGGACGCCC